UUCCGGUUGAUCCUGCCGGAAGUGACUGCUAUGGGAGUUCGCUUAAGCCAUGCGAGUCGAGAGAUUUCGGAUCUCGGCAGACUGCUCAGUAACACGUGGAGAACCUGCCCUGAAGUGGAGAAUAACCUCGGGAAACUGAGGAUAAUGCUCCAUAGCCCAUCGGAUCUGGAACGACCUUUGGGCGAAAGUUCCGACGCUUCAGGAUGGCUCUGCGGCCUAUCAGGUGGAAGUCAGGGUAACGACCUGACUUGCCGACGACGGGUACGGGCGUUGAGAGACGUCGCCCGGAGAUGGACUCUGAGACACGAGUCCAGGCCCUACGGGGCGCAGCAGGCGCGAAACCUCUACAAUGUGGGCAACCACGAUAGGGGAACUCCCAGUGCCGGCGCUAAGCGUCGGCUGUUCCUGUGUCUAAAAAACACUGGAUAGUAAGGGCUGGGUAAGACGGGUGCCAGCCGCCGCGGUAAUACCCGCAGCUCUAGUGGUCACCACUAUUACUGGGUCUAAAGCGUCCGUAGCCGGAUCAGUAAAUGCCCGGGUAAAUCGAACGGCUCAACCGUUCGCAUUUCGGGCAGACUGCUGAUCUAGGGACCGGGAGAGGCUAGGGGUACUCCGGGGGUAGGGGUGAAAUCCUGUAAUCCCCGGGGGACCACCGGUGGCGAAAGCGCCUAGCUUGAACGGGUCCGACGGUGAGGGACGAAGCCCUGGGGAGCGAACCGGAUUAGAUACCCGGGUAGUCCAGGGUGUAAACGUUGUGGGCUUGGUGUCGGGGGUCCUGCGAGGGCACCCGGUGCCGCAGUGAAGAUGUUAAGCCCACCACCUGGGAAGUACGGCCGCAAGGCUGAAACUUAAAGGAAUUGGCGGGGGAGCACCGCAACGGGAGGAGCGUGCGGUUUAAUUGGACUCAACGCCGGU
rnacentral:rRNA from 1 species